rnacentral:lncRNA from 10 species
CUGGAGUAUACACAAGGAAAGCUAAGUGGAAAGAAGAAAAAGGAGAAAGCUAGACUCUUCCUUGCCCCUAGGUAUUGGAAGAAGAAAGGAAAGAGGGAGAAGAGUAAAAAAUCCAGGUAAAUGCCUCACCUAGAGAGGAAAUGCUGACUUAGAUCAUGUGAAUGGAGAAUUAAGAAAUUUACUACUAUAGGGACAGGAAGGGGGUGAUCACUUUCCUCCCAUGGCAAAGGAUCACAUUUAGCACCCUUAUAACAAAAGAUAGGUUAAAAAAAAAGGAAAGCAUAACAAAGUAAUUACAUGCAAAUAUGUGCACUGGAGUCACACAAAAUAUAAAAACUAAAAGAAAGGGCCAGCCAGUGACUCAGGAGGCUGAGGCAGAAGGAUUGCUUGAGGUCAGGAGUUGGAGACCAGCCUGGGCAAAAUAACGAGACCUUGUCUCAAAGAAGAAGAAAAACAAGAAGAAGAAAGAAGAAAGAAGAGAGAAGAGAGAAGGAAGAAGGAAGAAGAUAGAAGAUAGAAGAGAGAAGACGGAAGAGGGAAGAAGAAAGAAGAAAGAAGAAAGAAAGAGAAGGAGAAGAAGGAAGAAAAGGAAAAGAAAAGAAAGAGGCCAGAUGAGUGCCUGAGAUAUUUUGCAGACCUGCACUUGAUGGAUCAGCUGGUACCACCCAGAUUGAUCAACUGGCUCAUCUGAUCUUGUGGCGCCCACCCAGAAACUGACUCAGCACAAGAGGACAGCUUCAACUUCCCAGAUUUCAUCUCUGACCAAACCAAUCAACACUCUGGACUCACUGGUCUUCCCCUCUGCCCCACCACCACCAAAAUAGCCUUAAAAACUCUGAUCCCCGAAUGCUCAGGAGACUGAUUUGAGUAAUAAUAAAACUCCAGUCUCCUGCACAGCCAGCUCUGCAUGGAUUACUGUUUCUCUACUGCAAGUCCCCUGUCUUGAUAAAUUAGCUCUGUCUAGGCAGCAGGCAAGGUGAAUCCAUUGGGUGGUUACAUUUUCCCACUGCUAUUUUUGGUAAAUAAAGUCAAUUUCCUGCCA